AGAUCCAGGCUCGUCGUCUGAGACAACAGUGAGCAAAAGGCAGAUUUUUAGUGUUGCUAAUCCAAUCAUUGAUGAUGGCAGCUUCUGUCCAAAUUACCCACGAAAAAGGAAGGAAGAGCCUGAAAUGUAGUAUGUGAUUAUGAGUGGAGAGAUUGUUGUAGAAGGAAGUGAGUGGGAAAAGGAGAGAUAGCAAGAAUUCAAGAUUCAAGCAUAUUGAGCAGCCAGGCAGGGGAAUACAUAAAGCGACCGAUUUUUGGGGCGAUGGCUCGGAGGCGGUGAAGGGAUCAGAGAAAAGGAUUGGGAAUGAAGAAGCUCUGAAUCAGCACAUGAGUUUGUGUAAAAAAUUUAAGAAUCUAAAAAGUCCAACUCAAACUCAUCAUCAGCUCAUCUCUGCUCUUCAAGAUUUUUGAGGGAUAGAAUAUAGUAUAUAAAUUGUUUUCUUCAACUGAUAUGUUAGUUGCUUGUAGUCUGUUCCAUUUGUUACAAGAUGGUACUAGUAUUUCAACUUUCUGGUUCAAGAUAAAAAAAAUCAGCACAA